UCUUUUUCCUUUUUUUAAUACACACACACACACACACACACACACACACACAUAUAUAUAUAUUUGAAUAUUUUGCUUCUGAAUUUCAAAUAAACAUGGAAUUAUUCUCGCUUUGGACUCAAUUACUCUUACUUUUGAUGAGUUCUACCUUUCUCGUAAACGCGGAGUGCGUUGAUGGAUGGUUGCAUCUUAGAACCGGCAGUUAUAUGUUUGUAUGUGACAGGGAAGUUUACAGUGAUGCCCUGGCCGUAUGCAACGAAAACGGAGGCUCCUUGGUAUCCGUCAAUAAUUUAAAAGAAGCAAUUUGAACAUGACCUGGAAUAGAGAAGGCAUGUCGUUGAAGAGGUCGCGAGUAGCGACUAAAGGAUUUUAACAAACAUAACUUACUGAUUUAUUA
rnacentral:lncRNA from 1 species